AGCAGUGUGGCAUAGCGGUAAAGAGCAGGGCUCGUAACCGAAAGGUUGCUGGUUCGAUUCCCCACUGGGCCACUGCUG